rnacentral:rRNA from 1 species
GGACCGAUAUAUCGGUCGCGCCUCGGUACGUACUGGUAUUUUCGGUUUCUCCCUUCUGACGAACCAUGAUGUCAUUAAUUUGGUGUCGUGGAGAAUCAGGACUGUUACUUUGAAAAAAUUAGAGUGUUUAAAGCAAGCUAACGCUUGAAUACAUUAGCAUGGAAUAAUGAAAUAGGACGUUUGACCCUAUUUUGUUGGUUUCUAGGAUCGACGUA